rnacentral:sRNA from 1 species
UAAGACGUCAAAGCAUUCGAAAUUUUCAUUUUUUCUAUAUUUGCUAAAGUCUGGGGGCUUUUGGUCUUGAAAACUGCCAGAAACACGCGCAUUUUCAAGUGUUUUUUUUCACGCUGAGUGCCAAAAAUUUACAUAAUCUUAAUGCAAAGUUGCUACCGAAUGGGCCAAGAGGGGGUUGAUGGACCGGCAGACCGGCGUGGCCGCGGCAGUUUCUUCAAAGGCGCAGACAGCGAUGCGUCAACAGCAACAACAACCAGAACAAAACACUUAAAAUGUGGCCAGCAGAAGGGCAAAGAGUCAAGCCAUAAACAGCUCGAGCAGACAGAAACGGAACUGAGCUCGCAACUCAAGCGCGAGAUGGAAUCAAAGUUAGAGUUGGAGUCGGAUUUAAAAAUGGACUCCAAGAUUCGGGCUGCUCUCGAAUGUGCCUGCAACUAAUGGAAGUUACCGAUUCGUUCCACUUCCAAUUCCAAUUCGAAUACAUGUUCAGCAACCCGUUGAUUUUGUGUGUGUGUGCGAAAAGUUGACAACAAGCAAAUAACUGUUGCAAUCGUUUUGGGGCAGGGGCUGAGGCUCAAUAUGUGUGUACGAGGGGGGGCUGUGAUUUGAGGUCUAUGCGUUCCGAGGGGCGGCAAAACUAUCGCCAGGCACGUCUUGGGAAAGCGCCGCGCGCGUUUUUGGUUUGAGACAAAGCCAAAAAAGGACAAAGGAGUAGAGGGUAAAGGGAAAAGGCGCAACCCUUCCAAGACGUUUGGGAUCUUGGCUUUAUCUUGCGAUGUUUUUGUUGACGCACGGAAGUAGCGGAAGUUGUGUUCAUUAUGUCCUUGCCAAACAGGACAACAACGGAGGCUGACUCGAAGGGAGAGGGAGAGAGAGCGAGUCAAGACAUGGACACAGUGUUGCCAGCUUGGACUUGCCUUUGACUUGUCUAAUAGAAGUUGCAUGUAAAAACAGCG